GCAUUAAUAGGAACCCCACACUCAUCCCGAGGAAUUAUCUUUCCAUGGAAAGGGCACUUAAUCCGAUCUUGUCUUUCACACAGACUUCCAUCAGGCAUUGGCGCUCGACAUUUAUGCUUCACUGGUUCAAACUUGCCAGCAAAUGUUAUAUAUCUGGUUUUUAACAUUUCGGUUAUUUCUUUAUUUUCUACCUCUUCCUCUACUUCACUGGGUGCCCAGAAUCGAUGCUCGGAAGUAAAUUUGAGAAUCUUCCCAGCACUUGGCUGAUCCUGUCCCCAG
rnacentral:lncRNA from 1 species